rnacentral:rRNA from 1 species
ACGGAAGGCAGCAGUGGGGAAUAUUGCACAAUGGGGGAAACCCUGAUGCAGCGACGCCGCGUGAGUGAAGAAGUAUUUCGGUAUGUAAAGCUCUAUCAGCAGGAAAGAAAAUGACGGUACCUGACUAAGAAGCCCCGGCUAACUACGUGCCAGCAGCCGCGGUAAUACGUAGGGGGCAAGCGUUAUCCGGAUUUACUGGGUGUAAAGGGAGCGUAGACGGCUUUGCAAGUCUGAGGUGAAAGCCCGGGGCUCAACCCCGGAACUGCUUUGGAAACUGUAGAGCUAGAGUGCAGGAGAGGUAAGUGGAAUUCCUAGUGUAGCGGUGAAAUGCGUAGAUAUUAGGAGGAACACCAGUGGCGAAGGCGGCUUACUGGACUGUAACUGACGUUGAGGCUCGAAGGCGUGGGGAGCAAACAGGAUUAGAUACCCUGGUA